rnacentral:rRNA from 1 species
UACGUAGGGAGCAAGCGUUGUCCGGAAUCAUUGGGCGUAAAGGGCUCGUAGGCGGCCAACUAAGUCCGACGUGAAAUCCCCAGGCUUAACCUGGGAACUGCGUCGGAUACUGGAUGGCUUGAAUCCGGGAGAGGGACGCGGAAUUCCAGGUGUAGCGGUGAAAUGCGUAGAUAUCUGGAGGAACACCGGUGGCGAAGGCGGCAUCCUGGACCGGCAUUGACGCUGAGGAGCGAAAGCCAGGGGAGCAAACGGG